rnacentral:rRNA from 1 species
UGGGGAAUUUUGGACAAUGGGCGAAAGCCUGAUCCAGCAAUGCCGCGUGUGUGAAGAAGGCCUUCGGGUUGUAAAGCACUUUUGUCCGGAAAGAAAUCCUUGGCUCUAAUACAGUCGGGGGAUGACGGUACCGGAAGAAUAAGCACCGGCUAACUACGUGCCAGCAGCCGCGGUAAUACGUAGGGUGCAAGCGUUAAUCGGAAUUACUGGGCGUAAAGCGUGCGCAGGCGGUUUGCUAAGACCGAUGUGAGAUCCCCGGGCUCAACCUGGGAACUGCAUUGGUGACUGGCAGGCUAGAGUAUGGCAGAGGGGGGUAGAAUUCCACGUGUANCAGUGAAAUGCGUAGAGAUGUGGAGGAAUACCGAUGGCGAAGGCAGCCCCCUGGGCCAAUACUGACGCUCAUGCACGAAAAGCGUGGGGAGCAAAACAGGAUUAGAUACCCUGGUAGUCCACGCCCUAAACGAUGUCAACUAGUUGUUGGGGAUUCAUUUCCUUAGUAACGUAGCUAACGCGUGAAGUUGACCGCCUGGGGAGUACGGUCGCAAGAUUAAAACUCAAAGGAAUUGACGGGGUCAUAGCUGUUUCCU